AGGCUGUAGCAAAAUCAACAAGCUGGCAGAAGAAAAGUGGCUGGCUGUUGUUUCUAACUUUCCAACUUUCCCACUCACUGAACUUCUGAAAUUU